rnacentral:lncRNA from 1 species
CACCGCAGAGAGCCGUGCUUAACUCGGCUGUAACGACGCCGCUGUGGGAACUGCACUGCAUGCGGCCGGUGACCUGCCAUUAUUAUUUCCGGGUUGCAGUCCAGCAUCGCGACCUGCAGCAACUCCUGCACAAUAGCUAGCUUGCGGUCCCGCUCAGGCACUAUUUGUUGUCCUGGGUGUUCGCACGACACCCACUCCAGCUGGAGCCCUCCCUCCAGGUGGCCUAGCCAACGUCUCUGUCCGUGAGCGGGCAUCUUCUUUAGCUGCCUGGAAGACCUCUCACCACACUGCUACAUGUGUAAGUAGCUUUCCUGGCUGGCAGUCCUCGGGUCCGGAAGCGAAAGACGAUCUCUUCUACAACUCUUUCUCAUUCUGCUGAUCUACUGCGUCAUGUCGCCCUAGAGGCUGUAGCCUCUGUCCGGCCUCCUGGAGCAGCUGUAUGCCUCGCUGCACGCUUCCUUGGGUGUCCCCGCUCCCCUUGCUGGUGUUCGUCCUGCGACGCCGGGUUCUCCCCUUUCUGCUCCUCACUCACCCACUUGCUGCCUUCACAAGGGUCAUCGUUUCACGACAGCCGUUCGUCCAGAUCAGCUCCCUCCUCCUCCCGGGUGUCCGUGUGGUGGCCAGUGCUAGAUCCUCCGGCUCCUUCCCCCUUCUAUCCCCCGCUUGAUCGCAGUUAACACAGUAAGCCUGGGCUUCUGGGCUUGGGUCUCCUUGCGCGGCGCCCCGUUGUGGCUAACGAGGGCGUCCGCCCAUUGGGCCACCCGUACUGCCUCCGUUGCUGGGUGUUCAUACCGGCAGCGCUGCCCAACCUGCACCUUAACACAGGGCCCCUUCCCCGCGUAGCUAGUACACAAGUCAGUGCCAUUCACAUAGCCCCUGUACACGCUCUCCGUGAUCUGCUCCUCCCCCAAUUCCUGGUAUCCCCGCCGACCCAGCUCCCGGUUUAGAGCCACCACUACGCUGGCAGGCGGGCUCAGCCGCGGUCCAUCGCGGCCCCUCACCGUGAGGCGUUCCCGGGUUAACUAGGCCCUGGUAGCCCACACCCACCGGGCUACGACUUGCGCUCCUCUGGUCGUGGAAGCCGGGAACCCCCGAUUGCCGCCCUUCCCAUGCCGUUCUGCUGCCCACACUCUUCCUGCGCUCAAUGCCAACCUCCUCCUAAAUUCCUUAGUAGGCUGUGAGCCAGCUGCCAUGCGCCCCUGGGAACUUCACGGCCGUGCGCGUGAACAGUACCACGGCCGGCCAGGUUCACUCCCGCAACUCCUUGAACAUCGGAGCCUGACAUCCACAGCCUGGAGGGCCGCCUCUAACCCGAACACCCGGCAUUCGCGGGCCUGCUGCUGUAGCUUGAACUCACUCUUCC